AGGACCUGACCCGGGGCUGCCCCACGCCAGACUGAGCUCUCCAGCAGCCCCAGCUCGUUUUUCACCCCAAGCACAGGUGUAGCCAAUCUCAAGUCACCCCCACACUCAUUAACCCUCACUAGCAACAGGCUUUGUACUGGUUUUUUAUUUAUCUGUGCAUCAUCCACGCAGGCAGAUAUGGCAUUUCCCUCAGUCCUGGUUUACAACUGGAGAAAUACAGUCUCUGUCCGAAGCCUUCCCGUUUCACCUCUGUGAUCGUUCUGUAGCUGACCGUGCAGCUACCAGAGUUUUAUGAUUUUUUAGACCAUACCUGUUUCCUCAGCAUCCUCUUUUCUGUGACUGAAACCCCUGUGUCUGCCCACUCAUCUGUUACAGCUUUAAAAACAUUUAGAAAGAAUACAGGGAAAAACACAAACUUGGUAGAGGUUCAAGAAUACAGCUUAAGAAGCAACAUAUUUGGACACUAAGUACUAGGAAAUCAAUGUAAGAGUAAUCAAGUAUCACAAAGGCAAGUAUCUAGUGGAAGAAAAAAUAGUAAAACACGUUAUAUACAGAAAACAGGCACCGUUGGCUACAGCAAGGGGAAAAGCCCCACAAAAUUUAAUAAAUACAUAAAGCAUACAUGUUUCAAAAAUGUUAAAUCUCAGUUAAUAAUAAUCAUUCACUGAAUGUCAACUUUAAGUUCAUUAUUAAUUAUAUUCCCGUUCUGAUUCCUCCUGAAAAAUGCCAAAAUGAGAAAUCUGCACAGGAAAGAGAACAGAAAAGGCAGAAAGGUGACAUUAGAAGUGAAGAGGAGGAAGAGGAACAAGAGCAGAAAUGGAAAGACAAGUAGGAACAAGUGAAGGCAGAUCUGGAAAAGGAACAACAGAGGAGAUGGAAGAGAUGUGGCCAUGCACAUGCAUCCAAACCUAUCAAUGUUCCAGCAUGAAGAAACAUAGAUAACAACAAAGCCUCUUCUAGUAUAACAGAAGACUAACACCACAGUGUGUGAAGGAGCCAGCAAACUGAUCCAGCACUGCCAGGCAAAUUCUAAACUAAAGUAUAACAUCACAGAUCUUUUAAUCUGAAAUAGUUUACAGAAACAGAAACUAGAAGAAGAGUGGAGGUGCCAUGAGGAGGAGGUGGCAGCAAAGAAGUCAUAAUUAGAGAAAACAGCACAAGAACGUAUUUGGCAGCAGCAGGAUUAUCACAGGAAGCUUCUGCAGUUCCAGAAGAAGCAACAGUUAGAGGAACAUGGAGCAGCAGAUGGUCUAUAGAAAGGCUAAUGCUUACUUUAGUUGCAGAUAAUUCUUCAGAAUGGAUGAUUUCUGGUAAAGACAUAGACAGCCUGCGUGUGUCUGCCUUGAGAUUCACGUGACACUAAGUCCCACACUUACAGUACCUCAGCUGCUCCUCAGUUAAACAGGUAUGGUAACAAUAGUCCUCUCUGCCACAGUCCCUGCAGCCUGAAAAAAGGAGAAAUCCCACAGCCUAGCUAUGAUGCAACCAUGAAGAUGCUAGCAACAACAAUGUUUGUGCUACAUCUCAUCAUUUCGUGAUGCUUCCAUUACAUCUCUUCUCCGAAAACCCAACUCCCAGUAUCUACAGAAUUAAAAAAAGAUAUUCUAUUUCUAACAAAUAGUUGCAGAGAAACUUGAAACUUCUUGAAAACCUAGGUGCCAAGCAGAUCUUAAAAAAAAUCCAAUUACAAUUUAAGAAAAAGUCAUAUGAAAAAAUAGUAAAUACUUGAAAUGUCAAUACUAUAACAGUAUUUUAUUUUUAUCUGAAACUGAUGGAAAAAUAGAGAGUAUGUAAGCAGCUAAGAGUUGUUUGUGGUGUUUUUAAGAGGCACAAAAAUGCAGAAAGAAGGAGCAAUGUAGUUAGAGGAGGAAUGCCAGCACCUGGGAGACAUGGCAAUAGAACACCUGGAAUAUGAAGGAAAAAACUGAGAAAAGACAAGACAUAAGGCUGAGGAGAAAAUGAAGAUGCUAGACCAGCUCUAGAGGAAGUCAAAACACAAGCACAGCUUUUAAUCAGGUACGUAGCUAAUAAUAAAAGUUAACUUUCUUUCCUCAGUAAUAAUAACACAUCUUUACACCUCGUGCCAGCCUGUACAAAAACACUUGUGCAGUCAGGAGUUCUAUGGGUGUAGUUACCAUUGCAGAGCAGCAUCAGUCCCUCAGGAGUUAGUUAAGCUGCCUUCAGUUCCAGCUCCAAGACACAAUGCAGUUCUUCUGCUAUUUAACCAGUUUUUCAAUAUUUCCCCAAAUUCCAUCAGCAAUUCACAUACAUCUGUAUUCUUUAACUAUUUUAGAGUUUAUAGCAUCCAUUUACAUUACAGAAAGAAGCCCAACAAGAUUUCCUGCCCACCUGUAAUUAUGAUUACCUCCACACGAUCCAUGGCUGCAGACUCCAUAGUAUGCUUCCAGAACUCAUUCCUACCAGCACCUAGGAACACAGGAACUGGGAGGCUGCAUAGCACAUAUUAAAACAUUGGAAAUAGCAUAACAGGCCUUCUUAAUGGAAACCUAAAUCAAUUUGUGAGCCACAGAGUGCUACCAGGGAUAAAAGGCCAAGUAAUAACUACAGCUGAGAAGCAAUUACUACCUCCUGCUUGCUCUGCUCGUGCUGUUGUGACAGAAGGACAUACUGGCCCACAAGAAGGUAUUUACAUAAGCCAACAUUUUCUUCCCCAGCCGAUUCCAAACCUUGCUCAAAGCCAACUCCCAGGGGAAGCCCAGGCUCCUGCCAAGGCUCAGAAGGCACCAUAUGCACUGUGGCAAAGCCAAAGAAACUGCCAGUGCACAGCAGUGAGCUGUGUAGGUGUCAUCAAACCAAUACACCAGCUUUCUAGCAGCAGGAGGAAUUCUGUCCUGUGUCCACAAUUCUCUUUAUUAACACUGUUUGCAGGCAAAGAACAAAUCUGCAACCACCUCUGCAGUUCCAAGAAGCAUGAUUAAUGGAAGCUAUCACACUUCUUCCUCAUCCACAGGUGUUUGCUCAUGUUCACCUGCCUAAAAAGGGUAGACUUGAAAACAGCAAAAAAGAGUAAAUAAAUGCCUGGUGCUAGGAAUGGGCCAUUGCAUUGAGCUCUUUCAGUUGCAGUCAAAUUCAAUGAUCCAACCUGGCUCAAGAGAGGAACAAUGUUCCUUUUUGGCACAAGAGUUACUCAAUCACAAAUUUAUUUUCCUAGACUGCAGCACUAGUCUAUGUACACAUCCCACUGACAGGAAGUAAAAGGACUCGUGUUUGAUCAGCCAGUAGAAAUUAAUCCAGACAGACCUCCUGAAGUGCCAGAAUACAGAUUCUUUGGUCUAUUUUGUGUUAAGAGAUGAAACAAUGAAAUAACCAGGUUACAAAAAGGUAGGAAGACCUCAGUGCUGACUUCUGGAGGAAUCCUCCAAAACAAUAAAUUGCAAUAAAUGUACAACUGUAAGAAAAGGCUAAUUGUGGGUUCAGCAAUAAAAUUACUACAGAGAAACUGUAGCAAGGUAAGAACUUUUCUUCCUUAAAAAUCAGGUUAUCAUUUUUUGGUUCUCCAAUAUUAUCUAAAUAAAUGUAACAAAUUGUUACAUUUAUAGAUUCAAUUUACAUUGCAGUUCCUGUAGUUACUCUUCCUGGGGAAAAGAGUAAUCAAUUUUUGCAGUCUCUAAAUUGAAGCUGAACUUCAUUAGGUACGCAGUAACUACUAGUUCUAAGGGCAAACCAAAACCCAUUUAUACCACUUCCAGCUUGCCCAAUUCCUACAGGUCUCUGUAUAGUGCCUCAGAAGUUGAUCUUUUCAUUUAAGAAAAUUUACCUGAACAGCAAGAAUUUAAAUGUGCAUACAGAAGAUGUACAGCACAGGUCAACACAGAUAGUUUAAUAUUGUAUCCUUAAAUAUAAUUUCCAUUUAAAUUAGGAAAAGCUAAAAACUAGUAAACAAUUGUAGUGUUUCUAAAACAAUACAUGGCUAGUCAAAAUUUGUGGCAGCAUUCAAGUUUUAGCAUUAUCUGACACAUUAACUGAAGUCCAAAUCCUGCCAACAUUUAUGCAUUUGGCUUCAAAAAAACCUCAUAUUGUCAAAUUGAUGAUCAUGUAGACAUAUUUAUACUUAAAAGAACACACAAAUCCUUUAAACACAGCAGCUUUAAGAAAAUCCGCUAAAACUGAUAGUUUUGUGAUGUGCUUAUCAAUAAAGCUUUUAUACAUCAACAUAGUGAAUAUUAAAUAUAUUCUCACAAUUCAAAAUAAAGCAAGUGUUAGCUCUCAGCUUCUAUUGCAUAGCUGUGUCAGUGAAGAUGGUUUUAUUUCCCCAACACAUUCUUUAAAGCCCUUAAAAGCAACCUUCUUCUAAUAUACAGGUAAGCAAAAAAAAAUUGCAGGAGGAAAAAAGACUUUCCUUUUUUUCUCCAGCAUAUGAAAACCAACCUUACUUUCAGUCACAUCCUCCAAAGCUGCAAGUGUUUUAAACCUUCCACUCCAGAUCAGCUUUUCAGAAAGAAGUUCAUUGAAAAGGAUUAGAUCCUCCAGAGAAAUCAAGAAAAUUCAAGUCUAACUCCUUGACUUCAAAAUUCAGGGUUUAUUUCAAUGUGUAAUUUCCAAGAAUUAAUUCUUUAAAAAGGGUACCAGUGCCUCUGUGUAGCACACGUGUCUUCUCAUUUUACACUGAGUUCUCAAUACUAAUCUUUCAGGCAGAGUACAGUUUUCCCAUUAUUACUCUUCUAUCAAGUUCUAACAGCAAAGGCUUGGCUUUAGACCAGCUGCUCUGUUGAGGCUCUUUGAGGCUUCACAACAAGUCUGAGAAAGAGGUCAAAUCAGUUUAUAGAGUGGAUAUGGUACCAGUGACAAAGAGAUGUAUUUUAGGACAAGGUUACAGAACUAAAAGCAAUCUUUGCCUUGAGCUUCAUCCUACUGAAGCCACAUUUUGCAGAAAACCCUCCCCCACAGUCUCAAGAGAACUAAAUGCAGUGCUUCAGGUAGAAAGCUGAUAUAAAUGAGCAUAUAAAACCAGAUUUGGAAGAGGAAAGUGAACAGCUAGAAGCAAAGAUAGUCAGGGCAGCAACUAGAAUACCAGCAUCAAACCCUGGGGAUCUGGAUUCAGUUCUCAGCUCCACCUUCAGCUUCCAGACAGACCCCAGUGAACAACCACACCCUGCACCUCAAUUCCUAGUUUGCAGAAGAGGGAUAAUAGGAACUUGUCUAAAAACAAGAGCAUUAUACAAGUUUAAAUUAAAGAUGAUCUGGUAAUAAUCACAAGGUUGUUUUAUUUCUGGUUUUCUGAGGCAGACAUAUUUGGUAUUCUAAAAAAGCAAUUGGAGGUGAGUGCAAAGAAGCCAUGGUCAACAUCACAGUAGCAAUCCUUCUUCCCUUAAGAAUUGAAUUAUAUAAAAUACUUUAAGAAAACCCCAUAUUCUGAUAUUUUGUAAACAAAAAUUUUAAUCUUUAAAAAAAUUGCUUAAUGUAACUAUGUAUACAAAAGUAUUACUAAAUCAGAAACAGGGCACAAACCACAAGCAUGAAAGAAAAUGCCAUUUCUAGCUUUACAGCAAAUGCCAUAAUAAAAGUAUUCAAGAUCUGCAAUUUCUUCCAAGUAUGCCAGCACUAAAAUGUGUCUUUGACUAAAGCUGGCAUUCACAGUGAACUUUAUUUACCAAACCAAACAAGUCCUAUUUAUCUGCAAAAAAAGCUGAAGCAGGGAGAGUACAGAAAUCUUCUCUCCACACUACUCUGCCCAUAACCUGCCAUCUCAGCUUUCAUAUCCAGUAACAAGUUCUCAAACUGACCAUUUAUAAGCUGCAAGUCACCAGAACAUGUAGACCCUCGUAACGAUGCCCAAUGAACCAUCACGACAGUUCCAGGUCAUCCACAUUAUACGAAAUAUAGACAUUUAAAACCAUCUUUUAUUUCCUUCCAAGUUUCAUUUUCAGUUUAAAUUCUGUGCAUGAAGUGCAGAUCUAUGUAACUGUAUGUGAAUAUUCUCUACCAAGAAAAGAAACAGCUACUAGCAGUCACCUGCAAAACAAGCAGAUCAAGUAUUUUACUAGGGCAAGUAGAAAUUUUUUUCAUGAGGUAUAUUUACAGAGCACAUUUUUUUUUCUGGCUUCAACUUACAGUCACUGGAAAAGCAUGCUCUAAUUAUAACUUUUUAUGGUUUUGCUCAUUUCCAAACAUUUGAAAAGAAAAUGCAAGUUGUUUAUAAAAUUGUUUUUCUGGUUUAUUUUAAAUGAAGCUGGUACAGACAAUGUCCAUUCAAAACCCACGUCCCAGGCCAAAAGGUACAAACAAGAGUGUCAAAGUAACACCAGUUGGCUGCUGUGAACAUUCUUGCAUGAAUACCUGCGUGUACUAAUUCCUAUAUGAAGUUAAAAUGCUUCUGGGCUCUUCUGGUAAGAUUUAAAAAUCAUUAGGGUUUUCAAUUUUAUGUCUUCAGCAAAGCCAUCUCUGGAGCAAGGAACAGAUGACAACAGUUCUAGGUUUCCCAUUUCCAACUCGGUAAUCUUCUUUGUUGGGCCAUCAGCACAAUUUAAGCAAAAUAGCUCUGAGUUAUGGAUACACAAUUUCUCCACAGU